UACGUAGGGUGCAAGCGUUAAUCGGAAUUACUGGGCGUAAAGCGUGCGCAGGCGGUUUUGUAAGUCUGUCGUGAAAUCCCCGGGCUCAACCUGGGAACUGCAUUUGUGGCUGCAUCGCUGGAGUGCGGCAGAGGGGGAUGGAAUUCCGCGUGUAGCAGUGAAAUGCGUAGAUAUGCGGAGGAACACCGAUGGCGAAGGCAAUCCCCUGGGCCUGCACUGACGCUCAUGCACGAAAGCGUGGGGAGCGAAACAGGAU
rnacentral:rRNA from 1 species